GCAAGUCAACUCGAGCAGACUUCGGUCUUGAUAGGGUGGCUGACGGGUGAGUAACGCGUGAAGAACUUGCCCUUUAGCCUGGGACAACAGUUGGAUACGACUGCUAAUACCAGAUAAGCUCAACGUAAGGCAUCUUAUGUUGAGGGAAGCUACGGCGCUAAAGGAGAGCUUCGCGUCCUAUUAGCUAGUUGGUGGGGUAAAGGCCCACCAAGGCGACGAUAGGUAGCCGGCCUGAGAGGGUGGAC
rnacentral:rRNA from 1 species